AAGGUUUUAAGUUAAUUAUAAACUAAUAAUUUUCAAAAUUAUAAAUAAAGAAUUUUUCUUUAAGCCUUA
rnacentral:tRNA from 1 species